CCCUUAGAUGUUCUGGGCCGCACGCGUGCUACACUGAGUGGAUCAGCGGGUCAGGUUGCGCGAAAGUGUUUCCUAAUCUUGAAAUCCGCUCGUGAUGGGGAUUGACGGUUGCAAUUUUCCGUCAUGAACGAGGAAUACCUUGUAAGCGCGGGUCAUCAUCCCGCGCUGAAUACGUCCCUGCCCUUUGUACACACCGCCCGUCGCUCCUACCGAUUGAGUGGUCCGGUGAGGCUUUGGGGUCUGAGCAAAAAGAGCGUUUCGCUCGUUUGGCUCGGAAAACUCAGUCGAACCUUAUCAUUUAGAGGAAGGAGAAGUCGUAACA
rnacentral:rRNA from 1 species